rnacentral:tRNA from 1 species
AAUGAAUUGCCUGAUAAAAGGGUUACCUUGAUAGGGUAAAUUAUAUGAUAAAUAUCAUAUUCAUUA